CCUGGUUGAUCCUGCCAGUAGUGAUAUGCUUGUCUAAAAGAUUAAGCCAUGCAUGCGGGAGUGUAGCUCUUAAUGGGCAGGACUGCGAACGGCUCCUUAUAACAGUUUGAAAGUAUUCAGUUGAAAUGCAUUUAACAGUGGAAAAUCUAGUGCUAAUGUGCAUGUUGCUGGACUUGGUUAUUGACUUACCAGUUCAGAAAAGUGUUUACACGCAUCUGAGUUUCAAUCUGUCCUAUCAGCGAGGAGGUCAGGUAACGGCAGACCUCCGCUCUUACGGGUAACGGGGGAUUAGGGUUUGAUUCCGGAGAGGGAGCCUGAGAAAUUGCUACUACGUCUAAGGAAGGCAGCAGGCGCGUAAAUUACCCACUUAUCAGAAAUAGAGGUAGUGACAAGAAAUGUAAUCUCUGGAUUUUCUAGAGGAUAUGAGUCUGCACCGUAGUUUAGUGCGUGAUUGUAAUUGGAGGGCAAGUCUGGUGCCAGCAGCCGCGGUAAUUCCAGCUCCAAGAGCAUAUAUUAAAGUUGUUGCGGUUAAAACGCUCGUAGUUGAUUACUUUUUAUUCAUUCUGAAUAAAUGCUUUGACCAAAGACAAACGCUUCAAGUGCUCUCUAGAUGAU
rnacentral:rRNA from 1 species